UACUAGCUGUCCAAGUCGCAGCCAUUUUUAUUGGGUCUAAAACAUCCGUAGCUUGCUUUGCGAGUUCCUUGUGAAAUUCUGUCUCUUAAGGGCAGAGCGUGCAAGGAAUACUGCAUGGCUAGAGACCGGGAGACGUGAGAAGUACGUUUGAAGUAGCGGUUAAAUGCGUUAAUCUUAGACGGACUCACAACAGCGAAGGCAUCUCACGAGAACGGUUCUGACAGUGAGGGAUGAAGGCUCGGGGC
rnacentral:rRNA from 1 species